AUCAGUAGGGAGGCCAAUUAGAACUGUACAUUUCCUAUUGCUAGAUCUAUUAUUUUAAAACAUACAGUAAUUGGACCAGUUUCUGUGAAUUAAACCUAGAUGUUUAAGAUUGUGGGUGUGAGGAUUUCACAUAUGGCAUUGGCAUUUUGAAACUCUGUCGUUUGCAUCACCUGCCAUACAAACCUUUCCGGGGGAAAAAAAAGUACAAUUUUGAUUGUUUUGAAUUAUCAUCUGCGUGCCACGUGUAUAAUAGAUUACUAACAUAGUAACACCGUUGUUACACAUCUGACCAUCUACCGAACAAAUUUGAUUAUUUCCACCAGAACCUGAGCAUUAUCGAGGGCCCAAGCUUAAAGUUGCUAUUAUUAGAGCUGGGUUGGCUGGCAUGUCUACUGCAGUGGAGCUUUUGGAUCAAGGCCAUGAGGUUGAUAUUUAUGAUUCACGGUCUUUCAUUGGUGGAAAAGUGGGCUCAUUUGUAGAUAAGCAUGGGAAUCACAUUGAGAUGGGACUUCAUGUCUUCUUCAGUUGUUACAACAACCUUUUUUGCCUGAUGAAAAAGGUGUAAUCCCCAUCCUUUGUCAUAAAACUCAAUCUCUGGACCCAGAAAUGUGAACCAUCUCCAGUGAGUUGAGGCAUAUUGAUGGGUUAAUUGACAUUGGAGUAAUUAUUUCAAUGCAAUUAGUAGCAGUCCUUGUGUUUACUUGCUCUCAAUUUGAAUUGCCUAUCCUAAGAUAUUGAUGGGUUAAUUGACAUUGUAAUAAAUUCUUUAAAAGAACGGACGGGAAAUCAUUUUCUCUUAGGAACAACCAUAUGGCUGUUUUGUUCAUUUCUGUAUUGAAGUUUCAGUUGGUAGUUAAGCUUUCAUUUCCAUUUAAGCAGCAAAUAUAACAAGACACUUUACAAGCCUCCUCUGGAACUUCUUCAGAUUCUUCCUGAAAAGUUGACAAUUAGAGUUAUGCUACCAAAUCCUCAUGCCAGAUGCACAUUUGAUAUUGUUUUUAAGUUUAUUCUGAGUACUUGCUUCCUUUGAAACAAACUGUAGUUUAUAGUAGCUAUUCAUGUAUGGUUGUUGAAUGGAUGUCUCCUAGAUGAUAUUUUCUUCUCUUGUUUCCAAAAUUACAGCACCAUAUCUAAGUUGAAGGAUAUACAAAUAGGGGAAAUUGUUGCUUCAAAAGAGAUAUUAAUAGGUUCUUUAACAAAGGAGGUAUUGUUGCUUCGAAAGAGAUAUUAAUAGGUUCCAAAAUUCAUGCAUCUCUUCUUUUUUAUUGUCCUUUUCUCAAGUUUUAAACUAAAAAACACUUCAUGGAUUGACCACCAAAAUCUUAUCUUUUGUAGUAUAGUCUGGCCCAACAUUUGCUAACUACACACGCACCUUUACACGUAUGCCCAGGGGUCAUGAAAUUCCCCUUGGAUGGGAAGCAAAUUUUACUUGUUUGUGAUUCUUUUCCAUGUGCUGGCUUCUUUACACGCCUAGCCAAGACUCGGUGAGUUUGGUAUCCCUGAUUCAGUGGUUUGUACAAGAUUUCAUAUAGGAUUGGCUAUUGGCUUGUAUUCCGGCAUCACAUAUGGCCUACAAGAAGCUUAGGGAGCUCAUGAUUUGGUAACUUUCACAUGCUUUUAUUUGUCCGCUUUUUAUCUUAAAGAUUCGAUUAGUUACAUGUGUGGACCCAUGCAUCCAUAUAGGAGGCAUGAUCUUCA